GUGGAGAGGUGACACCCUGUGUGUGUGUGUGUGUGUGUGGAGAGGUGACACCCCCAGGUGUGUGUGUGUGUGUGGAGAGGUGACACCCCUCCCGUGUGGAGCAGGUGAGGGCGGUGGAGCCACAGGUUCCACGACUGCCGAUGUCCCUGGGGUGACCUGCAGGAGCCGGAGGGGGGCGGCCUGAGGAAGGCAGGCGGGGGCCAGCACAGCACCGUGAAUGCUCCCUAGGAGGCAGAUGGGAGGAGAGGGCAGUCACCUCGCCGCUACAGCCCCUGCCCCAGCGGAGAAGCCUGCGGUGGGAGCCAUGCAGCACCUGGGGCCGGCAGCCCGGCGCCCUGUCCGGACAGAAUGACCUUCCCCAGGAAGAGCCGUGCCCAGGGCCGGACUCCCAGCAGCCACACAAUGUAGAGCAGGUGGGAAAGGACUGGUCCUCUGCGGUGACGAAGGCGCAGUGGGAGCCUGCCUGGAGGAGGCAGGUUCAGUGACUUGGCGGGAGCACAUGGAGAGCGUCCGUGCGGUUCCCCACCUGCCGCCCAUCCUGCAGUUGUGCGGUCCACGUUUGGGAACGCAGCCAUGAGCCUCGCCCGGGGAGAGCCAGCUCCGUGACUCUGGGGUCUCCACUGCCAGCAGGAGUAACUUGAGCCACUUUCACUGGAAGUCCGCUUGCUGAAACAUUGGUUCUUGAGCUUGGCAGAAAGGGUUAUCGCUGGGGCUCAGUGCCUACACUACAAAUCUUCACUGCUCCUGGAGGCCAUUUUGUUGUCGUUGUCCUUGUCAGAUAGGACGGACACCUGCAGACCUGCUUCACCACUUGCAAAGUGACGCCCCUGCAGGCCGGCCGCCG